rnacentral:rRNA from 1 species
GACGAACGCUGGCGGCGUGCUUAACACAUGCAAGUCGAACGGAAAGGCCCUGCUUUUGUGGGGUGCUCGAGUGGCGAACGGGUGAGUAACACGUGAGUAACCUGCCCUUGACUUUGGGAUAACUUCAGGAAACUGGGGCUAAUACCGGAUAGGAGCUCCUGCUGCAUGGUGGGGGUUGGAAAGUUUCGGCGGUUGGAGUUGGACUCGCGGCUUAUCAGCUUGUUGGUGGGGUAGUGGCUUACCAAGGCUUUGACGGGUAGCCGGCCUGAGAGGGUGACCGGCCACAUUGGGACUGAGAUACGGACCAGACUCCUACGGGAGGCAGCAGUGGGGAAUAUUGCACAAUGGGCGGAAGCCUGAUGCAGCAACGCCGCGUGCGGGAUGACGGCAUUCGGGUUGUAAACCGCUUUCGCCUGUGACGAAGCGUGAGUGACGGUAAUGGGUAAAGAAGCACCGGCUAACUACGUG